rnacentral:rRNA from 1 species
AUACGGAGGGUGCAAGCGUUACUCGGAAUCAUUGGGUUUAAAGGGUCCGUAGGCGGACUAUUAAGUCAGAGGUGAAAUCCCACAGCUCAACUGUGGAACUGCCUUUGAUACUGGUAGUCUUGAGUUAUAUGGAAGUAGAUAGAAUGUGUAGUGUAGCGGUGAAAUGCAUAGAUAUUACACAGAAUACCGAUUGCGAAGGCAGUCUACUACGUAUAUACUGACGCUAAGGGACGAAAGCGUGGGGAGCGAACAGGAUUAGAAACCCUAGUAGUCC